GACGAACGCUGGCGGCGUGCUUAACACAUGCCAGUCGAACGGAAAGGCCUGCUUUCCCUUGUGGAUUGCGGGUACUCGAGUGGCGAACGGGUGAGUAACACGUGAGUGAUCUGCCCCCAACUUGGGUAUAAGCCUGGGAAACUGGGUCUAAUUCCCGAUAGGACUGCAGGGUGGUGCCUGUGGUGGAAAACGAUUUUCUAGUGGUUGGGGAUGAGCUCGCGGCCUAUCAGCUUGUUGGUGGGGUAAUGGCCUACCAAGGCGGCGACGGGUAGCCGGCCUGAGGGGGUGGACGGCCACAUUGGGACUGAGAUACGGCCCAGACUCCUACGGGAGGCAGCAGUGGGGAAUAAUGCACAAUGGGCGGAAGCCUGAUGCAGCGACGCCGCGUGGGGGAUGACGGCCUUCGGGUUGUAAACUCCUUUCGACCGCGAGGAAGCCACCUGGUUGGAAGGGUGGUGACGGUAGUGGUAGAAGAAGCACCGGCUAACUACGUG
rnacentral:rRNA from 1 species